rnacentral:rRNA from 1 species
GAUGAACGCUAGCGGCAGGCUUAAUACAUGCAAGUCGAGGGGCAGCAUAAAUGUAGCAAUACAUUUGAUGGCGACCGGCAAACGGGUGCGGAACACGUACACAACCUUCCUAUAAGUGGGGGAUAGCCCAGAGAAAUUUGGAUUAAUACCCCGUAACAUAAUGAUGUGGCAUCACAUUAUUAUUAUAGCUACGGCGCUUAUUGAUGGGUGUGCGGCUGAUUAGAUAGUUGGCGGGGUAACGGCCCACCAAGUCUACGAUCAGUAGCUGAUGUGAGAGCAUGAUCAGCCACACGGGCACUGAGACACGGGCCCGACUCCUACGGGAGGCAGCAGUAAGGAAUAUUGGUCAAUGGACGCAAGUCUGAACCAGCCAUGCCGCGUGAAGGAUUAAGGCCCUCUGGAUUGUAAACUUCUUUUAUCUGGGACGAAAAAAGGCGAUUCUUCGUCACUUGACGGUACCAGAUGAAUAAGCACCGGCUAACUCCGUGCCAGCCGCCGCAGUAAAAC